AGCUCAGUCGGUAGAGCAGCGGUUUCGUAAACCGCAGGUCAAGGGUUCGAGUCCCUUC
rnacentral:tRNA from 1 species